CCCUCAAAUGUCAUUAGUCAUUAAUAGUGGACCAAUUUCACACCAAGGUCUGCAAUAUCGAUCAAGACUAUACAUGCUCGCAUCUAGUUUGCUAUUUCAAACGGGAAUGUGUACGUACGUGUGUGUACAGGUACAUUCAGCACUCAAGGCAAUGCGUAGGACUACAAUGCAUUGCAUUGCACUAUACCAUGUGUAUGUAAUGUAUUUGAAUUUAGAGUGAAAAAGCCGUUGCAAGAAGUAUCAUUCUCUUGAAUACUCUCGUUUUCUCCUGCAAAUUUACAGUAUGGGCAUCUUCUUUUAACAUCUUUCGUCAAAGAAGUGGAUUCAAAGCACAUUGUGGCCUCAGUAUAUUGAUGUGAAACCAUGCAGAAAAUGCUACUUUCUCUCAACCUUGUGGAUGUUCCCUACUUCCUAAGGAUCAGCAGCCUCUUGAAACAGGUGAAGCCAUUAUCGAAUUCCUUGCGUCUAUGUUCCUUGGAUCUGAAAACAGUGCAUAAUGCAGGAGAUUCCACCCAAAAGCUAACCCACAAGUCCAAGCUGAAGUGGAAUAUUUUGCAAAACUUGAUCUACCUUCACCCGAUAGCUUUACUGCUAGAGAAAGGUUAUUUUUUCACUUCAUUAUACUUUAUAGAGAGAGAUUGGGGGAGGGGGAGGGGGAGGGGUGAGGUGUAGCCACAAAUCUGAAUGGAUAAGCUGUAGAACUGAAAUUUCCAGUCAUGUUACUUGCAAUUGUAAUGAAUUAAAGGAUUUACGAACUGACAUAAUAACGAUUUGGGUAAAAGUCUAAAAGAUUCCAGUAUUUUGAGGAUAUUUGUAAUUACUAUUCAUGAAGUUGACCUGUUUCAUAAUGUCUCAUGCUCACCCCCCUCCCCCCCCCCCCCCCCCCCCCCCCCCCCCCCCCCCCCCACCCCAUCCACUUCAUAUCAGUUCUUAAAACAUGUUGCAAAUUAUAUAUACAUUGUUGGUAAUAGAGAAAAAUUGAGUGAGGUAAAUGCAAUACAAAUCGAAUCCAUUAUUAAGCAAUUAAGACUUGUUCAGGUACGGCACGUGAACCUCCAACAAAUUUCAAAAAUGAUGCAGUUUGGUUUUAUGUGUAAAGUGAAUGGCAACAAAGGACCUACCGGUGCGUGUCUUUGUAUGUUUUGGACUGCGCAAAUUCAGUGAGCUCUUUUUAAUAAUAUACACUAUGUAAAGCGUAUUGAACUCUAUGUCAGCAUUUAAAAAACUCUGCGAUUUUGACUGUUUUGCAGCAUCAUAUCUGAGCAAGCCUUAACGGGACGUGGUAAAAUUGUUCAGAUGAGAGACAAUUGUGCUAAGGUAUUGACUUCAUGCUAUAUGUACACUUAAAGAUAAUCUGAAAGUUUGAGUGAAAAAAGACCAUUAUUGAUGAUAAAAACUUGGGAACAACUGAUCUGAUCGAUUCCUUAAUUCUUCCAACUAUAUUAUUAUAAUUUAAUUAAAUUUUAGGUGAAUGUAAAUCAUCACAAAGAAAAGAAUUGGCUCUAAUAAUACCUUAGAUUUUUAAAGCCUGUUUUAUAUCUUAUUUUCAUGGAAAAACGGUUGGGGGAAAAUUCAAAAAUUUAUUGGGAGAAUGAAGUGUUAAAGAGUGACACACAGUGGCACCUUCAAAGAAAACCAUAAAUAUCUUUGUGGUUUGAGAAUUUUUUGGUAGUUAAAAGUAUAAAAUUCUUGGAUUGUAUCUGUGAUUUUGAGAGCACUAUAUGGCUUACCUUUAUUGAAUUCGCUGUUAAAAUUUAAGUUAAAUUAAUAUUUUGUGAAACUCCCCCCAGGAGUUUCAAACGUGCCAAAUGAAUGUUGUGACAUUAGCAAUAGAAUGUAUCUCUUUGUGCUAAACUUGUUCAGCAUGUUUGCUAUUUUAUCUUAAACUUGGAAAUAUCUUCUGAAUAAUUAUUGCACAGUCACCUUGGAAUUGCCCAACAAAGCCACUCGUACUGGCGGGAAUGUUAUCUGAUAGAAAUUGUAUUUUUAUACUUGAACUUCAGCUUCUGUAUUUACAACAAUUUUUUUUUGGAUGAUAUUUAUAAAAUAUGAAUGUUGCCACUAAUGCCUUUUCUUGUAUUUAAGUCAUGUGCCAGUAAGAAGCAGGUUUCUAGCACAGAAAAUAGGUACAGUUGAGCUGAUAUCUGCACAGUUUUCCAAUAUGCUGUAUCGCCAAAUGUGAACAUCGUGGUUUCAACGGGCAAGCAACCAUCAUCAGAAAACUCUGCAGGUAUCAGUGAAGCUGUCCCUGUUCCCCUUGCUGCCAACUUGUUUCUUUUGAGUGUAAGAAAUAACUUAGCUAAGCCAUGUGUUUAUCAUUUGUGCCAUUUUUCUCUUGUGUGUGAUUUAGAUUGUAUAGUUUUAUACUUUAUACUGAAUUCUUGCCAUAAACUUAGAUAUUCCCCUUGUAUGUAACAAGUAUUGAUCUUUCAUGCUCAGGAAUUGUUUCCAACAACCUUUUGUUUUAUGUUAUAGUCUUUAUCUGCAUUAAAGUAUUGGGGUUGUGAGGAGCAGUGUUGCAGCAUGGAGACGAAAUAGAGCUGCACUGAUGAAUGCCCAGCUUUCCACUAUGCUGUUUUGCUGAAUAUGAGGAACUUCCCCAGUCUGAUGUUUUCUUGUCUACUAAACAACUGCGGGUAUCAGUGUAGCUUUACCUAGUCUCUAUGCUGCUAACCUGCUUCUCACAACCGCAAGACUUAUAAGUUAAGCCAAUAUAUAUCAUAGUUUCUUGUAACUGAAUUAAAUUUGAAAUGAAAUAGCACAAUUUAUAACGAAACAAAUAUCUUUGUGAUGGCCUGUUAACUUUCUUAAAAUCAAUUAUGAGACUGACAGAAAUACACUAGGUAUUUAUACAGCAUGUUUUGGAAGAAGUUUCAGGAUGGUGAUGGAAAGAUUUUGUAUUUAUAGAAGACAAGUUAGAUAGAAGAAGGUAUAAACAUAAGUAUUCUAUAUUUUUAUUAUCCAUUUUCAUACCAUAUAAAUGAACAUUAAAAAUAUGAAAAUUA